CUCCCAAAAGGCACCGCGGGGAAGCCUAGAGGGGAGAGGCUGGCUUUUACUUCAGAGAGUCGAGGGCACCAGAGGUUGGGCCGCUUUGUUCCGCGUAGCUCUCCGCCUUCUCGGCCAACGGCAAAUCUAACCGACCUGAGCUGGAGUGGGGACGCUGGGAGUAGAAAUGCCCUGAGAGCUUCCUGGCGGAGGUGCAGAAAAGACAUGGUGGUGAGGCGCUUGAGUUUGGAGACGCACGAAACUGGGUUCUUUGAGCUCAGUUGCUCCCCGUGAAAUCGGAAUAAUGCGCUUUCCAGAGCAUUUUCUCGAAUUAGGAGUUAAUUCGAUCCAGUGCGCCUUCCUCGGCACACUAGAAGACGAAAGCUCAAUGAGAUUAAGAAAUUUGCCCACAGCCAGACAUCUAGAAAGUGCCCGAACUGGGAGUUGAAGUUCAUUUGCCAGUGACCAGGAAUCAAAAUGACCCAGGGAUGGUAGCCGCUCUGCAGUGACCAGGCCUGGGGAACUGCACUGCUUCUCGUGAUGGUUUUGCACUCCGGGGAGAACCAGAAUACCGGUUUCCUAGUUGCUCGUCUCAGGACUUAAUGAAGCUCACGUUCUUUAUGUCUUGGCAC